rnacentral:tRNA from 2 species
GGCGGACGUAGCCAAGUGGAUU